rnacentral:tRNA from 1 species
GGGAAUGUGGCUUAGUGGUAGAGUGCUUGCCUAGCACACAUGAAACUCUGGGUUCAAUUCCUCAGUACCA